rnacentral:rRNA from 1 species
UACGUAGGGUGCGAGCGUUAAUCGGAAUUACUGGGCGUAAAGCGUGCGCAGGCGGUUCUCCAAGUCCGUUGUGAAAGCCCCGGGCUCAACCUGGGAAUGGUAGUGGAAACUAGGGGACUGGAAUCUGGCAGAGGGGGGUGGAAUGCCGCGUGUAGCAGUGAAAUGCGUAGAGAUGCGGCGGAACACCGAUGGCGAAGGCAGCCCCCUGGGCUGAGAUUGACGCUCAGGCACGAAAGCGUGGGGAGCAAACAGG